GUAAGUGGCAAGGCUGCCAGUCAAAGAACAACCAAGAGGUGGGAGGGGCUAAAUGUAUUUGGACUCCUGGGAUUCAUAACCACUAUGCCUCAAGAUCUCCGUGCCAAGAUCCAAGUUAGAAACUUUUAUCUCCCAGCCUCAAUAUCAGGAUCACAGCUGCCAGCCAGAAGUGUAUAAAUACAGAUCUUUUUGGAUGUGGACAAAAUGUCUUGAAAUUGUGUCAAUGGCUGUGCAUGCAUACA